AAUGGGCAGUGUACUACACAGAGACAAGUUUUUCACUAAUACCACAGGGAUCUCUGGUCCAAUGAGUGGAGUUUGAUAGUAAUUCUGACUACAGUA
rnacentral:snoRNA from 1 species